rnacentral:rRNA from 1 species
UACGUAGGGUGCAAGCGUUAAUCGGAAUUACUGGGCGUAAAGCGUGCGCAGGCGGUUUUGUAAGUCUGUCGUGAAAUCCCCGGGCUCAACCUGGGAAUUGCGAUGGAGACUGCAAGGCUAGAAUCUGGCAGAGGGGGGGUAGAAUUCCACGUGUAGCAGUGAAAUGCGUAGAGAUGCGGAGGAACACCGAUGGCGAAGGCAGCCCCCCUGGGCUAGCACUGACGCUCAGGCACGAAAGCGUGGGGAGCAAACAGGGAUUAGCAU